UACGAGUGCCCCAAGCGUUAUCCGGAAUUAUUGGGCGUAAAGGGUGUGUAGGUUGUUUUGUUAGUCUCCUGUGAAAGAUUUCCGGCUCAACCGGAGAAGCGCAGGGGAAACGGCAGAACUAGAGGAUGCGAGAGGUGAAUAGAACUCAUGGUGUAGGGGUGAAAUCCGUUGAUAUUCGCAAGAACACCAGUGGCGAAGGCGGCUCACUGGCCCGGAACUGACGCUGAGGUGCGAAAGCGUGGGGAGCAAACAGG
rnacentral:rRNA from 1 species